GACGAACGCUGGCGGCGUGCUUAACACAUGCAAGUCGUACGGAAAGGCCCUUUCUUUGUUACAUGCUCGACUAACGAGCGAGUAACUCGUACGUAACUAGCCCACAAUUUACGUUUAACUCUAUGAAACUGAUUCUAAUUCUGACCAUGUACUAGUGCCUCAUGGUUGGUGUUGGUAAGCUCCUGGCGGUGUGGGUGGACUCGCGGGCUAUCUACCUGUUGGUGGGGUAGUGGGCUACCAACGCGGCGGCUGGUAGCCGGCCUGGGAGGGUGAGCGGCCACAUUGGGACUGAGAUACGGCCCAGACUCCUACGGGGGGGAGCAGGGGGGAAUAUUGGACAAUGGGGGCAAGCCUGAUGCAGCAACGCCGCGUGGGGGAUGACGGGCUUCGGGUUGUAAACCGCUUUCAGCAGGGACGAAGCUUUUUGUGACGGUAACUGGUGAAGAAGCACCGGCUAACUACGUG
rnacentral:rRNA from 1 species